AGGCUGGUCUUGAACUCCUGACCUCAAAUGAUCUGCCCGCCUCAGUCUCCCGAAGUGCUGGGAUUACCCGCGCCUGGCCCACAUUUUCAACUAUUUAACUGGUUUACUCCACAUCUUGGGUUUUUUCCUGAAUUCUUACUGUGCUUCAAUCAUCUUGCCCUUCUAUGUGUCUUAAGUUGAAUGAAACUAUCCUCAUACCUCCUAAUCAUUUUUUUUAAUUUCUAGGUUGUUGGCAAGGAUUCUGCAGAAAAAUUAUCCCUACAUUGCAAAGAUUUUAAAAGGACUGGAGGAGCUUGAGUUUCCUCAGACUUCACAAUACAUGGACAUAUUUAAUGAUACCUCUGUCCACUGGUUCCCUGUGCAAAAGCUAGAACAGCUCUCCACAGAUAUUUGGGAGUUUCGGGAAGAACCAGAUUAUCAGGACUGUGAGGACCUUGAAAUCAUCAGGAAGAAGAGAGAAGAUCCUUCUGCUACUGACUGAACUUGCUGUGAGGUACUCAGUGGUGGCUGAGGUAGAAGCUGCCACCGGAGACUCAAGGGAAGGCUGCCAUGGAGGAACUAGAGAGCACUCCUUUGCCAGGAAAGAACAUCAACUUGGCCGUCCUGUUUUGAGGACGAUACCCCACAUGAGGACUUGGUAU
rnacentral:sRNA from 1 species